UCAGCCUCUCAAAGUGCUGGGAUUACAGGCAUGAGCCACGGUGCCUGGGCUGACAAAUAUUUAUUAUUGAGUUUGUGGAACCCAGAAUGAUCUAGGGCCUCAGUGGCCACUGAACCCUGGGGCACACUUGAACAAAAAUAUGGGCUUCUCAGCCACUAUGCCUUGACAUCCUCUCUAAUCAGAAGUUUGUGUAAUAAGUGCAAAAGACAAUAUUCACAGUGACAAUGAUACUGUGAACUGCCAUAGGGAGAGUAGACAUGACUGUGGUGACAAUGCAGCGGCAGCAGGACCCUGUCCUCUCAUAAGUGGGCAUCCUUUCCCCAUGUGAACACCACAUAGCAGAAACGCCCAUCUUCCAAAGCCCUUUUAUCAUGUUAUGAAUUAUUUACACUUCCAUAUAUUUCAGUUAAAGAGUGGUAAUCAGAUCUGUAUGGAUGCCACUUGGGUCAUUUGUCAUUUCACUUGAAGGCAAAGAAAUGUUUUUAACUGGGAUAAGAUUAGCUGCCGAGGUGGAGCUGAUAUCUGAGCGAGGCUCUCGAGGACACAUUCUGGAUAGAUCUCCAUAUGGGAGUUGGAUGACUGCCACCAGCCAGUCUUGGCAGUCCCCAGAAUUCUUCUGAAGUGGACAGUGGAAGAAGUGAAACAUUUGCCUGGCAGCUGGCAUCAAUGCAGUCUCUCUCUGGACAUGCAGAAGAAAAGGUUCAAAAGGAACUGAACCCAAACCAGUCUUUAUUUGAUUUUAGAUGGAAUUAAAACAUUUUUGUGGGUCUCGACAAGUAUUGCCAGCACUGCACCUGCCACCCUGAUAGCAAACUCCAGUGGAAGUAACAGCAGAUCUUGCAAAUAGAGAAACAUCUGCCUCAGUUCUGAAGCAAGCAAGUGACCAUCCUCAUGCCACAAAAUAGAAGAACUUCUGCUAGAUCCAGAACUGUCACCCCUGGGUCGCAUGGAGGCCUUGAGGGUUGGGAUUCAAUCCUCAUUCCUGAGAAGGUGAGAAGCAUAGCAAGGAGGUCAGGGGAUCUGAGGGGCUUCAGUGAUGCCCCUUACUUGAGCUCUCUCUGAUCUCUCUUAACCAGGAGCUCUAGAACCCCAUUGUGAAUGUGGACAUUGUUAUGGAUGCAAAUGUCCACCUGUGCAGAGAAUUAGGCAAGACAGAGAGAGGUGUUUUUCUGGGAAGACUGUCUGAGCGAGCAACCACAAAGUUUCUGGUCAUGGUUCCUGCCCUGCCUCCCUCUCUACUUUGGAGCUCCUGUAACUCCAAGUGGAUAAUAUACGGUUUUGUUUUUGUCAUUGUUAUUGUUGAUGUUGCUUGUCUUUACUUUGUAAAAUAUGAACCUUUCAUCAUAUGAGUGAUUUUGGCAAAAUGCACCUCAGACAUUCAAAUACUUCCUAUUUAUUAAGCGCCUCCCACUGUGCAAUCCAUAUGCUAGGCACUGCAGAUGAUGUCUUAGUCUUUAUAACAACCUUGCAGGUUGGAUAGCAUUGUUCCCUUUUCAGAAAUGUGGGAACAUGCCCAAGGUUCAGGGUAUUCUAAGUGGGAGAAUUCAGAUCCAGCUCACUCAGAGGUCUCUGCUGGCCCAGGUCUGUCCAUUGUCUUCUAGUGUAAAUGAAGGCAGCUGCUCUGAAGGCAGGAGGACCAGGCUUAAUCUGAAACCUGUGAUCAUUGAAACAAGCAUGGCCUGCUCUGCACAGGGUUCAAAUGAAUAGGUCUCUAUUUUCUCCUUUCUACAUAAUCACUCAAAUAAGAUAGGGACUAGAGUCAGGCAAGUGAGACUCUCAUCCCAGGAAGAAAAUAGAAGGGAGCACAAAAAAACUCAGUAAUCAAGAUAAAUAAUAACUUUAAUACAAUACAGUGUUUUAAAAAAUCAAGUCCUCAAACUAUAGCUGUCUGCCUAGCUAUUUUUAAACAUAAAGCUUUACCAAGGCUGGGAUGAGGCUUGAGCAAAUGAGGCCAGUUGUACAAGUUCAGUGUCAGAUCCUAUUUAAAGUUUUGAUAUUUUGUUCAUCAUGUUUAUUUUUUUCAUUAAUUCUAUCUGAAGCACCCACCCACCUUCUCAGCAGAUAUCUCCCUCUGGGGCUACCCUUUCCACAUGAGUUAUAGGGACCUGUGAUGUGCAAAAGGAAGUUACACAACUUCUCUUCAUGAUUUCUGUCUUUUGGGCACAAAAUUCUGACUUUUGAAGAAUACAGUUGCAUAAUCACCACCACAAUCAAGAUAUACAACAGUUCCAUUAUCCUAAAUAGUCAUCCCAUCCUCCACUCCCAAUAACUGGCAACUACCGGUCUGUUUUUCUGUCCCUAUAGUUUUGCCUUUUCCAGAAUGUCAUUUACAUGGAACAAUAUAGUAUGAAGCCUCUUGAGCCUGGCUCCUUUCAUUUAGUAUAAGUAUCUGAGAGUCUUCCAUGUUGUGUGUAGCAGUAGUUCCUAUCUUUGUAUUGCUGGCUAGUAUUCCAUUGUUGGAUGUACUUAUUUGGGUUGUUUUCAGCUUGGGGAGGCUAUGAAUAAACCACUGUAAACACUUGC
rnacentral:lncRNA from 1 species